GUCAUCAACGAUACCUCCCCGAGCGUGGCCACGCCGCCACAGUUACCGCAGGUGGGGCUCCGCGUCGCCUCCCGGAUCGUCAUGUUCUCCGUCCGUAGCUUGUCGUUCUCCUGCCACAGCAGCGCAUUCUCGUGUCGCUCGAUCUGAACCUUCAUCUGGGUGCGGCGAUUCUGGAACCAGAACUUGACCUGGCGGCUCUCCAGGUUGAGCCGCCUGCUGAGCUCCAUGCGCUGCUUCUCAUUGGGGUGAGGGCACUCCUUGAACACAGCCUCGAGCUCUUGGAUUUGCUGCGGCGUGUGGCGGUGGUAGCGCUUCUUCUUCUUGCGCGGGUUGUCCGGGUCCAGCUCGUUGGCGGAGGCGCCGUCCAGGUUGUCGCAGCCGGAGCGGUUGUCGUUCUCGCCCUCCCACGCGCGGCCCAGCGAGUCGCCGUCGCCGCCGCUCCCCGUGCUCCCCAUGAAAGCGCCGCCCAGCUGACCUUCGCCCUCCAUGUUCGUCUGCCAAUUAAACCAAUUAAAAUCCAAGGCAAUUAAACACGGCAAUGAAGAGAAACUGGCCAAUUAA
rnacentral:rRNA from 1 species